AGAAAAAAAAAGAUGCUUUUUUAUGUGCGCAAACAACAUUGGAUUGUAUCAUUAUAAAAAUCAUUGAUAUAAACAGUAUGAUGUAUAAGGAAAGAGGAUGUCCUGAUCCUGGCUUUUCCCGAUUGGGAAUAUCUUGAGUGGUACUGGGAAUCCGGAGCCCUGCUUUGAUGGAAAAUCCCAGUGAAGGGAAAGUACAACUUUAUUUUACCCCAAUGGCUUGCCUUGAAAAAAUACAUAGCAACUUUCCUUAGAUGGAGUGUUACUGGAUGGCGCCAGUCCAAGAUAAUGUCACAAGUUUACAGGUCUGUCCAAAAUGAUAAAAUUAGUUUAACAAAACAAAUACUAAAAACCAGGUUACAAAAAUUAAUUAAUAUUAGAUGUGUAGCAACUCAGUCAGGAGUGGGAAAAGGCCCCAGCUUUACAAGACGAUCUAACCACAAUGAUGAAGAUCAAGUUAAAAAUACACAGACACACGUCUUGCAGACAGGUGUUAUAGUCUCAGCAUGUACUAUGCAAACUCAGUGGUCAGAGCUGAGAAUCUCUUACCAUGUUUCACACGCAAGCAAAAUAUACCAACUGAUCUACACA